UGGCUGCACGUUCAACUGGCCAGUCAAGGAGCUCCAGCAAGCAGGUCCGCCUACUCUCCUUUCCCCUGAGCUCUUGCAACUACGCAAAUCAUCUUCCUGGUAUUUUCUCACUUUUGAUUCACAGACUAUGUACUGUAGUUAGUUCUGGUGAUUAUCAAAUGAUCUAAGACCACUGUACGUGCAUAUCUCAGACUUGGGAAGAAUGCACAUAGCCUUGCUGAGAACAAUUGUUUCGAUAAUUAUCUUGUUUGUGCGCUUGUUUUGAUAAAACACAUGGGUUAUAGAGGAAUUGAAACAUGUUACAUUGAAAUCAGAGAGCAUGUCGUUGUUGCUUAAUUCCGCUAAUCGUGGCUGUCACUGUAUACCUUGAGAUUCAGGUAGAAGCAAUAGAAUCCAAGAAAAAAAAAAUACCUACCUGCAUGUGUUCCUUAGAGAGUUUGUCUUCUUCAUACCUCACCAUUCUUGAUAUAUAUGGUCAUCUCUGUUCUGGAUAUCACACUCGACGGCCUCUCUUCAUGGCACAAAACGGAAACUACGCCAUGAAUGUAUUUAUUCAGUGAAAUAGCUGAUUCCAAUCAUUCAUCAACUAGCUUUGUUUUAAUCACAACAAUAAGUCAUGAUAUCUUGAAAUUGCCUAAUUGGUGAUUAUACAUUUUAUAUGAUGUUUUUCACCUGCAAGCUCUGCACUUCUUUCCUUUCAACUUCAUCUCUCUUGCUUUAUUUCAUGAAUAUAUUCAUCUUCUCAUUCCAUCAUUCAGUCUGUUUGCAACAAAAUCCUGAUUCAUAGUCUGUUUUUUUAAAUGCUUGGCACAUCCUAAACAAAAUCCUGAUUAAACGAUAGGCUUGGCAUAUCUUUUUUAUCACUAUGGUUGCUUUUAUCCGCAACUGAUUUCUCUGAUUCCUUUCCCAUGCUGUAAUGCAAUUGUUUUGGGCAAUUCCCCAAGGCCUUAUGUUUUAUGUUAUUGGGAACUACAGGACACCCAGCGAGUGUUUAGGAUCCCACACACGGCAGUUCUUGGCAUGCUCCUGGCACACCUUGGACUAUCACCGGCUCAGUAUGAACGCGUUGUUCAUGAGGACGGCAAGACCCAUGUUGUAAAUUGUCUGUAAGCGACGUGUUGCCGUAUCUUCUAUGCCUAAAACAUCUGUAAGCGACGUGUUGUCGUAUCUUCUAUGCCUGAACGUCUACAUUAUGCCUAAAACUUAAAGUUGUCUAUGCAUAGUUGUAAAUUGUCUUUAAGCGACGUGUUGUCGUAUCUUCUAUGCCUAAGAUAUUUGAUGCUAACCUAUCGUGAAACAUGCUUUCUAUGUUCAUGCAUUGUUAAGUAGCUUCUUAUUAUGUG
rnacentral:lncRNA from 1 species